UAAUGAUCCAAUUAUCUCCCAAGCAAAGGGGAGGGAUUGUGUGCCAUGUGUGGGAGUGUCAUGCAUUUUAACUCUGUUGUUAUUGGUUUACAAGUUUGUGUCACAGUCCCCAACAAGGUCCAUGUGGGUGUCACCCUUGCAUGGGGACUUGCAUAAAAGGCCAGCUGUGGCUUCCAUUAAACAGAAUGCUUUACCCCUUCAUGAAGUCUUGGCUCAUGUUUGGGGAUUGGAGAACUAUAUUCACUCUGGGGAUUGCUAUAUCACAAUACUCCCCUGAGUAUAAUCACUGGCUCUUUUAAGUGCUGUUCCUGCUACGCUUUCUGGACUAGGAGAGGUCUACCCACUGGAAGCUGGAUCCUGGUCUUGGGUCCAGGGUGGGUGGAGGACGGUGAGUCCCCAACCAAGCUGCGGUGGUUCGUGGGGUUUAUGGUGGUUAUGGUGUUCCAGUACAGUGCUUAUGGUGCUCGCAAGUACUAGGAAGCAGCGAUUGACUGAGGUACCCGGUCAGGGUGCCAGGCGGUCCGUCACAGUCGGAUCAUCAUAUAUAUCAGAGUCGUUGUCGAGGUAGGAGGCCAUAUUGGGCCCCAGAGUGCCAUGUGCCUGCCGCCAGAGAUCCCUCGAUGCUCAUGCCCGGUCUAGGCUUUUCUGGCUUUUGUUUUUUCUGACCAUCUCGAUUAAGCCUGUCAGGGAGGCCCAAAAUAACCCACAACUUGGGGACAAAAGUGAUGGGUAAUUCAGUGGUAACUUGGCUUAGUAUUAGGGAGCAGAGUAUGCAACCGUACAGCAUGGCUUCUUGGGUCCACCCCCACAACUGC